rnacentral:rRNA from 1 species
AACGAACGCUGGCGGCAGGCCUAACACAUGCAAGUCAAACGGCCCUUCGGGGCAGUGGCGCACGGGUGAGUAACGCGUGGGAAUGUACACCUUGGUAAGGAAUAACUGCUGGAAACGGUAGCUAAUACCUUAUAAUGACUCCGGUCCAAAGAUUUAUCGCCAAGGGAUCAGCCCGCGUCUGAUUAGAUAGUUGGUGAGGUAAUGGCUCACCAAGUCGACGAUCAGUAGCUGGUCUGAGAGGAUGAUCAGCCACACUGGAACUGAGACACGGUCCAG